rnacentral:tRNA from 1 species
GCGCGUGUCUCAGUGGUAGAGUGCACGCUUUGUGUUUAUGACGUCCUGGGUUCAUAUCCCAGCUGCUCC